rnacentral:snoRNA from 1 species
UGGCUGUAGCUAUAUUGAAUUCAUGAGAAGUUAUCUGGCCGGUUGUUGUUUUUGGGAUCUCGAGAUCUCAAUCUUCCGUCGACACAUCUGCUUACCGAAUUUCUCACAUUC